rnacentral:rRNA from 1 species
GGUUAAGUUAAUAAGGGCGCACGGUGGAUGCCUUGGCACUAGGAGCCGAAGAAGGACGUGACAAACGACGAUAUGCCUUGGGUAGCUGUAAGUAAGCGAUGAUCCAGGGAUUUCCGAAUGGGGGAACCCAACAGGUACUACCUGUUACCCACAUCUGUUAAGGAUGUGAGGAGGAAGACGCAGUGAACUGAAACAUCUAAGUAGCUGCAGGAAGAGAAAGCAAAAGCGAUUGCCUUAGUAGCGGCGAGCGAAACGGCAGGAGGGCAAACCGAAGAGUUUACUCUUCGGGGUUGUAGGACUGCAAUGUGGACUCAAAGAUUAUAGAAGAAUGAUUUGGGAAGAUCAGCCAAAGAGAGUAAUAGCCUCGUAUUUAAAAUAGUCUUUGUACCUAGCAGUAUCCUGAGUACGGCGGGACACGUGAAAUCCCGUCGGAAUCUGGGAGGACCAUCUCCCAACCCUAAAUACUCCCUAGUGACCGAUAGUGAACCAGUACCGUGAGGGAAAGGUGAAAAGCACCCCGGGAGGGGAGUGAAAUAGAACCUGAAACCGUGUGCCUACAACAAGUUCGAGCCCGUUAAUGGGUGAGAGCGUGCCUUUUGUAGAAUGAACCGGCGAGUUACGUUAUGAUGCGAGGUUAAGUUGAAGAGACGGAGCCGUAGGGAAACCGAGUCUGAAUAGGGCGGAUUAGUAUCAUGACGUAGACCCGAAACCAUGUGACCUACCCAUGAGCAGGUUGAAGGUGCGGUAAGACGCACUGGAGGACCGAACCAGGGCACGUUGAAAAGUGCUUGGAUGACUUGUGGGUAGCGGAGAAAUUCCAAACGAACUUGGAGAUAGCUGGUUCUCUCCGAAAUAGCUUUAGGGCUAGCGUCGACAUUAGAGAUUCUUGGAGGUAGAGCACUGUUUGGGUGAGGGGUCCAUCCCGGAUUACCAAUCUCAGAUAAACUCCGAAUGCCAAUGAAUUAUGGUCGGCAGUCAGACUGCGAGUGCUAAGAUCCGUAGUCGAAAGGGAAACAGCCCAGACCACCAGCUAAGGUCCCAAAAUAAUUGUUAAGUGGAAAAGGAUGUGGGGUUGCACAGACAACUAGGAUGUUAGCUUAGAAGCAGCUAUUCAUUCAAAGAGUGCGUAAUAGCUCACUAGUCGAGUGACCCUGCGCCGAAAAUGUACCGGGGCUAAAACAAUUUACCGAAGCUGUGGAUACCUUUAUAGGUAUGGUAGGAGAGCGUUCUAUGUGUGAAGAAGGUGUACCGUGAGGAGUGCUGGAACGCAUAGAAGUGAGAAUGCCGGUAUGAGUAGCGAAAGACAGGUGAGAAUCCUGUCCACCGUAAGACUAAGGUUUCCAGGGGAAGGCUCGUCCGCCCUGGGUUAGUCGGGACCUAAGGAGAGACCGAAAGGUGUAUCCGAUGGACAACAGGUUGAUAUUCCUGUACUAGAGUAUGUAGUGAUGGAGGGACGCAGUAGGCUAACUAAAGCAGACGAUUGGAAGUGUCUGUCUAAGCAGUGAGGUGUGAUAUGAGUCAAAUGCUUAUAUCU